CUAAAAUGAGAGUUUGAUCCUGGCUCAGGACGAACGCUGGCGGCGUGCCUAAUACAUGCAAGUAGAACGCUGAGGUCUAGUGCUUGCACAAGACCAAGGAGUUGCG
rnacentral:rRNA from 1 species